UGAAUAUAUGAAUAAAAUAAAAAAAAUAUAACACUUUAUCUUUACUUGAAUCCAAGUGCAAUCACAUAUAAGUGGACAGGAAAUAGUUCAGUAGACCAAGUAUGAAGUUUAGGUGAAAUGAGAUGAAAACUGGGGGUUGCUGCUUUACAUUUGUAGAGUCUUGUAGCUGACAAAAGUAAGAGAAACGUGAGCCGGUGAGUUAUUCAGGGCGAUGUAAAAGUCUUAAGCCACUCCUCAUUUCUUCAUAUUUUGCUAGGAAGAUGACAAAUGGGUUCUUAAAACAUGUGCAAAUGUAUGUGGAUAUACAGUGUGUAAGAAACAAACAAACUUUACAGUCAAUAUUUGUUAUGAGCUCCUUCUUAAACACAGCCUGAAGUCUUUUGGGGAAGAGUUCCUUAUAAUUUCUUUGAGUAGUCUUCAGGAAUAGUUCUCCAGGUGUCUUGAAGGGCAUUUCAAAGCACUUCUUUGGAUGUUGACUGUCUCGUGUUCCCACACUGCUUCAUUAAUGAUGAAAUCCAGAUUCUGAGAAGGCCGAUUCAUGACUGAAUGCUUUUACUGCAUGUGUGUUUGGGAUUGCCGUCAUGCUGAAAAAUGAGGCUGUUGCCAGUCAGGCUCUUUUUGGAUGGUGGAUCAAAAUCUGACGGUACUUUUCUGCCUUCAAAGUUUCAUCAGUUUUGAUAAGAUCCGAAACACCACCGGCUGAAAUGCAGCCCUUUAGCUCGGAACAAUUUUUGUAAUGCUUGAAUGAUUCUGAAAAUGGUCAGGUACAAGGAUUGGACUGAAAUUAGAUGAAAACAAAAUCAGCCAGUGUUCAAAGACAAAAAAAAAAGAAAUGCCAUCAGAAAGCCUGAAGAACUACACUUCUAGCCAAUUAAAAAAAAAAAUACACAAAAAUCUGUCUCCUUGGAAGCAAAACCUUAGGAAACAAGGGGCGGCCAAAGACCAUACCAUAUAUAGGCCUUUUAUUUGAGGUUACAGUGUUUUCACAACAUCAGAAGCAUGUACAGAGUUCAUAAUUGGUUUCCCAGGUUUUACACACACACACACACACACACACACACACACACACACACACACACACACACACACACACACACACACACACACACACACACACACACACAAGUGUAAUACCUUACUAUUAUGAAGUCCACCUGCCAUGGUUUCACCUGUGUCAUACUGACUGGUGUCACACUUGUGCAUCCUCAAUCAUAGCUGCUCUGGCAAACAUCAUCUCUCCUCAUUUUUUCUACCUGAUGCAGUUUAAGAUUGAAGGCAUUCUCCAGGAUGGUGUGCUAAGACUGAUUUCUGAGCAGGAGGACACAGGAGGCAAGAAGGCACAAAACAAAACAAAAGCCAGGGAAGAAAAGCAGACACACUCACCACAGCGAGAGACAUGCAGAGGAGAGUAGCAUCAGGUCAGCCAGAAGAUGAUGUUGACGAGGAGCCAAUGGCCAGUGGAAGUUUUUCUCUGCAGCUAAGUGCAUAUGCCUUCAUGGAAACCACCACCUCUGCAUCUCCGCCUCUUCCUUUUUACUCAGGCUCCAUUUAAGCCUCCAUCUUCAUCUCCACCACCAGCGUCUAAACUCCAGGGGGCCGUGGCCUAAUCCCCAUCACCACUGAGAUUCAGUUCUGCUGUGAUGGGGCGUGGGAAUCUAAUUGCCAAAUACCUUAACUGAAUUCUGUAUAUCAAUAACUCAUAUUUAAUUCCUUCUGAGCUCUCCAUAUUGAAAUGAAGCUGGUCCUCCCUUUGCAGCUAUAAAAGCUUCUACUCUUCUGUAAGGAUUGCCAGUACACACCUACGCUGAGGUAGAAAACGUCCUUCAACAAGCUGUCCCACAAUGUUGGAAGCAUAGACUUGUACAAAAUGUAUUGGUAAGCUGAAACAUUAAGAUUUCCCUUCACUGGAACUAAGGGGCCUGGACCAAACUUGUAAAAGCAACCCCACAGCAUUAUCCCUUGUCCUCCAAACUUUACGGCUAGCGCAGUCCGGCAGGCAACGUUCUCCUGGCAUUUAUGAAUCCUACUCUCUCAUCUGACUGCCUGUUAGAGAAGCAUGAUCUGUCACACCUUUCCACUUCUCCAGAGUCCAGUGGAGGUUGGCCUUACACUAUUUUAUCUGACCUUUGGCAUUGUACUUGGUGAUGGAAAGCUUGCAUGCAGCUGUCUGGUUGUGGAAAUCCCAGUCUACAACUUUUGCUCUAAUAUUAAUGGCUACAGGAUGUUUGGAGCUCUGCAAUUCCUGAGUCAGCAGAGCAUUUCUGAAUUUUACACAUUACGUGCUUCAGCACACAGCGACCCAACUCUGUAAGUUUAUGUGGUUUGCUGUUUUAUAA